UGCACCUUUAGUCCCAGCUACUCAGGCUGAGGCAGAAGAACUGCUUGAACCUGGGAGGCAGAAAUUGCAGUGAGCCGAGAGCCACUCCACUCCAACCUGGGCAACAGAGCAAGACUCCGUCUCCAGAAAAAAAAGAGAGAGAAGGGGGUUAGGAUUGGAAUGGGACACACAAAAAGGACUUCUAAGCUGGUUGAAUUCAAGCAUGCAAAACCCAUGGGUAUAGAAGGCCAACUGUAAUAAUUUUGUCUGCUCCAUGAAGAAUAACGAAUAGACUCAAAGGGAUAAUCAAAGAAGCAGCAAGACCACUUAGGAAGCUCCUGCAAUCAUCCAGGAGGUUAGUAUUAUAGGAACAGAAGUAGAAAUAACAGAAAGUAUCAAAUUCUGGAUAUCUUCCUUUUUGUAUAGUUUCAGCAUCUAUACACAUCAAAAAAUUCUUCCAAAAUGCUAAUAACUUUUAAAAAUAUUGUUAUAGAAAUAAAAGUCUUUGGGAAAGUUUUUUAAAACACAUAGCAACUGGAAGACUACACUUUAAGAGAUGGUUAAACAAAUCUGUGAGAGAUAGUGGCUACAAAGUGUGAAGACUCUAAAGUUAAAAACUUCUUGUUUUGAUUCUAGCUCAACCACUUACUAGACAAGAAAGUUAUAGCAGCAUUUCCCUAUGCCUCAAUUUUAUCAUUUGUCAAAUGGAAAUAAUAAUAGCUACCUUAUAGUACUCCUCUGAUUAAAUAUAACAAUGAAUAUAAAGAACUUAACUGACAUAUCGUAACAACUCAACAUUGCCAUAGGUUCCCAGGAUUACUUUUUCCCAUUGCUACUAUUAUUUGUAAUAUCCCUUUUAGAACUGGUUACAUAUUCAUUUUAAAAUUAUCACAAUAAAAAUGAACUGUAAGUGUUCCUGUUAUAUAUUUAAUGAUAUGGUUCUUAACAGAAAACAGUUUCUGCUUUAUACAUUAAAAAAACUAUAAUUUUUAUUAUAGAUUAUUUUAAACUUGAUGGAUCAAUCCUCUUAAGGAUAACGAAUUUGGAUUUGCAAGAAUUCAAGGCAAUUCCGGGUAACAUUUUUUUCUUCACUUCAAAAUUAUAAAAUUUAAAGAUCUCAUAAAAUCAACAGAGUAUGAGAAGAAUAAUUAAAUAUGAGCCAUAAUUAUUUGGACUUUUUGGUUAGUUUCAGUUGGUCACAUACAUGAUUUUAUCAUGUUGUAUAUCUGCGUGUAUCAGUUAGGUUCACAAGAUAAACUCUAGGGCCAAAUACUUAAUGCCCUUUCAUAUUGGAAAUGCUUCUAUUAAAGAUACAUAAGACAGGCUGGGCAUGGUGGCUCACGCCUGUAAUCUCAGCACUUUGGGAGGCUGAGACGGGCAGAUCACUUGACAUCAGAAGUUUGAGAACAGCCUGGCCAACAUUGUGAAACCCCGUCUCUACUAAAUAUACAGAAAAUUAGCCAGACGUGGUGGCGCAUGCCUGUAAUCUCAGCCACUUGGGAGGCUGAGACAGGAGAAUCGCUUGAACCCAGGAGGUGGAGGUUGCAGUGAGCCUGUAAUAAGGGUUAAAAAGAAAAAAAAAAAAGUUUUCCUCUGCUUAGCAGCUCAAUUCAAGAACAGUUAUAACACUGUCCAAAAAGCCAAGGACAGAGGAAUGGGCUCCAGACACCCCCGCCCCCUCCAGAGCAAGGUUAAGGAAAAAAAAAAGAGAGAGAAAGACAAAUUCCUUUAUUGUUACUCCUUUCCCUUGCCUCUUAAGCAUAACGGUGUUUUACAAAUGCCUGUAUUUAGCCAAUUCUUGUUUUUCUUUUGACACAGCUAAAAGGCCACCAGCUAUGCAAGGCCACAAGUUAUGCACUAUAUGAUUAACUACCUUUGUUUUGCUCUUAUGAGCCCACUUAUAAAAACCUCGCUCUGUCUUUAUUCAAGGCCCAGCUUUUUGGAGGUAAAUCCACUGAGCCGGUGUGUACCUCACAAUAAAUAUCCUCCUGUAUUCACGCAUACUGGUCUCUCUAAUCCUCUGCGUCCCGCAACAAGCUGAGAGCGCGCCACUGCACUUGCAGUCUUGCACAUAGCAAGACUAUGUCUCAACAACAACAAAAAAGGGUCUCGCUCUGUUGCCAAGGCUGGAGUGCAGUGGAGUGA
rnacentral:lncRNA from 1 species